rnacentral:rRNA from 1 species
AGAGUUUGAUCCUGGCUCAGAACGAACGCUGGCGGCAGGCCUAACACAUGCAAGUCGAACGUGAAGCCACCUUCGGGUGGUGGAAAGUGGCAGACGGGUGAGUAACGCGUGGGAACGUGCCCUUCGGUUCGGGAUAACCCAGGGAAACUUGGGCUAAUACCGGAUACGCCCUUCGGGGGAAAAAUUUAUUGCCGAAGGAUCGGCCCGCGUCGGAUUAGCUUGUUGGUGGGGUAAAAGCCUACCAAGGCGACGAUCCGUAGCUGGUCUGAGAGGAUGAUCAGCCACACUGGGACUGAGACACGGCCCAGACUCCUACGGGAGGCGGCAGUGGGGAAUAUUGGACAAUGGGCGCAAGCCUGAUCCAGCCAUGCCGCGUGGGUGAAGAAGGCCUUAGGGUUGUAAAUCCCUUUCAGCGGGGAAGAUAAUGACGGUACCCGCAGAAGAAGCCCCGGCUAACUCCGUGCCAGCAGCCGCGGUAAUACGGAGGGGGCUAGCGUCGUUCGGAAUUACUGGGCGUAAAGCGCGCGUAAGCGGACCUGCAAUUCGGGGGUGAAAGCCCGAGGCUCAACCUCCGAACUGCCUUCGAUACUGCGGGUCUUGAGUCCGGGGAGAGUGGAGUGGAUUUCCCAGUGGUAAAGGGGAAAUUCCCUGAUAUUUGGGAAGAACACCCUUGGCGAAAGGGGGUCUCUUGGCCCGGUA